rnacentral:rRNA from 1 species
AACGAACGCUGGCGGCAUGCCUAACACAUGCAGGUCGAACGAGACCUUCGGGUCUAGUGGCGCACGGGUGCGUAACGCGUGGGAACCUGCCCUUAGGUUCGGAAUAACUCCCCGAAAGGGGUGCUAAUACCGGAUAAUGUCUUCGGACCAAAGAUUUAUCGCCUUUGGAUGGGCCCGCGUUGGAUUAGCUAGUUGGUAGGGUAAAAGCCUACCAAGGCGACGAUCCAUAGCUGGUCUGAGAGGAUGAUCAGCCACACUGGGACUGAGACACGGCCCAGACUCCUACGGGAGGCAGCAGUGGGGAAUAUUGGACAAUGGGCGAAAGCCUGAUCCAGCAAUGCCGCGUGAGUGAUGAAGGCCUUAGGGUUGUAAAGCUCUUCUACCCGGGAUGAUAAUGACAGUACCGGGAGAAUAAGCUCCGGCUAACUCCGU